ACUGUCUAAGUGCCCUGGAACGGGCCGUCAUAGAGGGUGAGAAUCCCGUAUGGGGCGGGGUGUCUGCGUCCGUGUGAAGCUCCUUCGACGAGUCGAGUUGUUUGGGAAUGCAGCUCUAAAUGGGUGGUAAAUUUCAUCUAAAGCUAAAUACUGGCCGGAGACCGAUAGCGCACAAGUAGAGUGAUCGAAAGAUGAAAAGCACUUUGAAAAGAGAGUUAAACAGCACGUGAAAUUGUUGAAAGGGAAGCGCUUGCAACCAGACUCGCUCGCGGGGUUCAGCCGGGCUUCGGCCCGGUGUACUUCCCCGCGGGCGGGCCAGCGUCGGUUUGGGCGGCCGGUCAAAGGCCUCCGGAAUGUAGCGCCCUUCGGGGCGCCUUAUAGCCGGGGGUGCAAUGCGGCCAGCCUGGACCGAGGAACGCGCUUCGGCACGGACGCUGGCAUAAUGGUUGUAAACGACCCGUCUUGA
rnacentral:rRNA from 1 species